UGAACGCUAGCGACAGGCCUAACACAUGCAAGUCGAGGGGCAGCGACAAGGAGCAAUCUGAGGUGGCGACCGGCGCACGGGUGAGUAACACGUAUGCAACCUGCCUGUAAGCGGGGAAUAACCCGUUGAAAGACGGACUAAUACCGCAUAAUACUAAAUUACUGCAUGGUAAUUUAUUUAAACAUUUAUGGCUUACAGAUGGGCAUGCGCAUGAUUAGCUAGUUGGAGAGGUAACGGCUCCCCAAGGCAACGAUCAUUAGGGGUUCUGAGAGGAAGGUCCCCCACACUGGUACUGAGACACGGACCAGACUCCUACGGGAGGCAGCAGUGAGGAAUAUUGGUCAAUGGACGAGAGUCUGAACCAGCCAAGUCGCGUGCAGGAAGAAUGUCCCUAUGGAUUGUAAACUGCUUUUGCAGGGGAAUAAAGUGCAUCACGUGUGAUGUUUUGUAUGUACUCUGCGAAUAAGGAUCGGCUAACUCCGUGCCAGCCGCUGC
rnacentral:rRNA from 1 species